UGGUUAUAUUGACAGAGGAAUAUUUUCAAUUUCGCUUAUAUGGAGAGACAGAUUCAGGAGAAAGAGUAAUAUAAUAUAGAGGAUCUCAAGUUUCAAAUUUACCACAAAAAAUAUUGAUACAUGUCUAGGGAGAUGGAUAUGCAAAGUGAAACAAUCUUGUGCUAUUUUUAAUUCUGGAGUUGGAAGCACAAUUCUACAAAUUUGAUUAUUCUCCAUAUAGGCAAUUUAUAGUAAUCUAUUGAAUGGCAUUUGUACCUUUCAUUUGUUAAAUUCUAAUAGUUGAAGUGUUGAUUUAAGCUGUACAUAAUAAAUAAUUAUUUUAAAACAUUUAUUACAUAUAUGUAACAUUGAAAAUACAA